AGAGUUUGAUCCUGGCUCAGGAUAAACGCUGGCGGCGUGCUUUAUGCAUGCAAGUCGAACGGUCCAGAUCUUACCUUGUUAUGUGCUUGGGAUGGGCGAACGGCUGAUUAACUGCCCCCUAACCUACCUUGGAGUGGGAAAUAACUUGCCGAAAGGCGAGCUAAUGUCCCAUGUGGAAAUUAAUCACAUGCUUGAUUAUUAGAUCCUUAAGGCGCUCGUAUAGGGACUUGCGUCUGAUUAGCUAAUGGGCUAGGUAAUGGACUACCAAGGCGAGGAUCGAUAGCUGGUCUGACAGGAUGGUCACCCAGAUGGGGACUGGAACCCGGCCCCAACUCCUGCGGGAGGCUUUUGCGAGGAGUUUUGGGCAAUGACCGAAAGCUUGACCCAGCGACACCACGGGACGUAAGAAGGCCUUCUCUUUGCAAACCUCUUUUCUUGGGGAAGAAUUUUGACGGAACCCAAGGAAUAAUCCUCGGCUAACUACGUGCCAACACCCGCGGGAAUACCUAUGAGGCGAACGUUAUUCCGAUUUACUGGGCGUAGCGGGAGCGUAAGCCGUACCUUAAAUCUCAUGUGACAUCUUCUGGCUCACUCUCAAUGCUGCAUUUGAUACUGACGGACUAGAGAGCAGCAAAUGGAAGUGUAAUCCCCGGUGUAGCGGAGAUCUGCAUAAAUAUCGGUGACAACACCAGUGUCGAAGGCUAUUUCCCACGCUGAUUCUGACGCUCAUGCUCGAACAGCGUGGAUAGCAAACCCUAUUAGAUACCCGCGUAGUCCACGCCCUAUACGGUGGACACUAAAUAUACCGAAGUAUCGACCCUUUCUGUGUCUUUAGCUAACCCCUUUAGGUGUCCGCCUGGGGAGUACUGGACGCUCAAGCUGAAUUCUCAGAAUGAAUUGACGG
rnacentral:rRNA from 1 species